rnacentral:lncRNA from 1 species
ACAGCGUGAGGGCCGCCGUUGCUGGAGUUCAGCUUAGGGAAGGAGGACUCUGAGGAGGCCCCGAGCGGCGGAGCGCUUCGGGGGAGGCGCCCGCGCAGACGCGAGGCCCAUAGCCAGGACCACCACCUAGCUGUUCUACAGUCUGGGGACGACGGUUUAAAAAUUUAUGCCUUGCAUGCGAUGUGCAGUGGGUGAUGGAAGAACGUCUACAUGGCUUUAAAAUUGGAUUUAAAAGGCAAAUAUUUUAAAUGAAGGAAAACCCAAGAAGUUUACUUGAUUCCUUAUCUUCCAGGAUGCGACUUUUGUUUAUUUAUUUAUUUUAUUUUGAUGGAGUCUCGCUGCCGUCGCGCAGGCUGGAGUGCAGUGACGCGAUCUUGACCCGGGAACCUCCACCUCCCGGGUUCAAGCGAUUCUCCUUCCUCAACCACCCGAGUAGCUGGGAUUACAGGCGUGUGCCACCAUGCCCGGCUAAUUUUUGUGUUUUUAGUAGAGACCGGGGAAGGUAUGGGCCCUCUUUUGAGAAAAAUGCAGAGUGACACUGAAUUUUGUAACUACAUCAGGAGGCUCUUGAACCUUCUGCAGCUCACUCGUGGAGUUUGUAGAGAUGCGUAAUAAUCCGAAGUGUUAAGGAAGAAGGUUCUGUUGAGAAAAAGUUGGAGGGCUGAAAGGGAUGCCUUUCGCUAUUUCGACAUGUGUGGCUGUACCCCAGAGUGCCCUGGCUAACACGCAAAACCAUGAAUUAGGCGGCUUGGCGAGGCUCAGUGGAGGCUGGGGCCGAGAGUCAUGUCAAAGUUUGUGGGGUUAACCUGCACCCAGUGACAGUCAUGGCGAAGUUUGUGAGGUUAACUCGCACCCAGUAACGCUGUUCCAAUGCAAGGUGUGUAUUUGGUGUCAUCCACGGGAAGAGGAAACAGCAAAUUUUCUCAUGGCCUUGGCAGUUCCACAUGAUGGACAUUUCAUAUCUGCAGUUUUCUUCGCAUGAGAUGGCUUUUUUGCACAAAAACACUGGAAUCCAGUGAGCAAGAAUGAUAGAAUGCAAGAUGGAUUUCCACAUGAGGAAGUGUCACGAACAAGCGUUUUGCAUCUCUGUCAGCUGGAUUCCCCCAUGUGAAAAGAACUACAGCCUGUGUGGGUCCCCUCCCGACAAUUAAAAUUGCACCAUAACUCCAAAGAUGAAACGCUCCCAGAAAGAAAAGGCAAAGACCCAUCGGAAACAAAAGAGCAACUUUCACCGCCUGAUACAUACACUUCAUGACAUCCACAUUGAGACAAAAUCUCGCCGUGUGACCUACAACACCUCUCGUUCAACCCCACCUACUUGGGGUCGAAUACAGAUUUUAUCUCAUCAAACAGAAAAAUUCUUAACAGAAAAAGGAAUCCCAAAAAUGACUGGUAAUAUAAUUCUGGCUGCCUUUAUGGUAGUCAGUGCAGCGGUAAGUAUACCACCGGUCGGGGCAACUCAAAAUUAUACUUAUUGGGCAUAUGUUCCUUUUCCCCUUCUAAUUCGGUCUGUCUCCUGGAGGGACUCUCCAGUAGAAGUUUACACUAAUAAUAGUGCAUUCAUGCCGAUCCCUAAUGAUGAUCGGUUUCCAGCUCAACCGGAAGAAGAAGGUAUGCACUUUAAUCUGUCAAUUGGCUAUAAAUAUCCACCAUUAUGUAUUGGGAAGUCGCCUGGUUGUUUAGCUUAUUCUUAACAGAAUUGGAUGUGGACUGUACCGUCCUUUACAAAUGAUUCUUAUCAAGUAUAUAAUGUGUUCAGUACUAACUCUUUUCAACUUCUCACUGUCAAACGUACCCCACAUGAGGCAUGGAGAGUUCCUCUCACUACCAAAACUAAUAAAACAAAAGGACUGCCGGACUGUCCAAAGAAACCUACAAAUGGGCCUUUUAUAGUGACUUCAAUUUUAUGGGAUAAUUGUAAUGCUCCCAAGGCUGUUGUACUCCAAACUCUAGCCAUGGGUAUUGUUAUUGAUUGGGCUCCAAAAGGACAUUAUUGGCAAGAUUGCUCCAGCAAAAAUACCUUAUGCUCGGAGUUUAUUUAUUCCUUAGAUUAUAUAGAGCAUGGGUGGCAGUCUUACACGAUGAGACAACGGGUGUCUCCUUACCCAUUUAAAUGGAUGGACACAGGUAUUGCUCCUCCUAGACCAAAAAUUAUUCAUCCCUUUUUUACCCCAGAACAUCCUGAACUAUGGAAAUUAGCUGCAGCUUUGUCGGGAAUAAAGAUAUGGAACACUACCUAUCAGCUCCUUCGUACUAAAACCAAAACACCCACAUUCAACAUCACCCUUAUUUCUGAAUGGGUGAUACCCAUUAGGAGCUGUGUCAAACCCCCUUACAUGCUGUUGGUUGGAAAUAUAAUUAUGAUGCCUGAUGCACAAACUAUAGAAUGUCAUAACUGUAAGCUGUUCACUUGCAUUGAUGCAACUUUUAAUCCCACUACAAGUAUUCUCUUGGUAAGGGCUAGGGAGGGGGUAUGGAUACCAGUUUCUCUACAUCGUCCAUGGGAGUCUUCCCCCUCUAUUCACAUAGUCAAUGAAGUUCUUAAAGACAUCCUCAAAAGAACAAAGAGAUUUAUUUUUACUCUUAUUGCAGUCCUUGCAGGACUACUUGCGGUUACUGCAACAGCAGCAACUGCUGGAGUUGCCAUCCGCAGUUCUGUUCAAACUGCUCACUAUGUUGAAGCAUGCCAGAAAAAUUCCUCCAGACUUUGGAAUUCUCAGGCGCAAAUUGAUCAAAAAUUAGCUAAUCAGAUUAAUGAUCUCCGCCAAAGUGUAACCUGGCUGGGAGAUAGAGUUAUGAACUUGCAACACCGUAUGCAAUUACAGUGUGAUUGGAAUACUUCUGAUUAUUGCAUAACGCCUUAUGCUUAUAAUCAAGAUCAACAUAGCUGGGAAAAUGUCUCAAGACAUUUAAAAGCCUGGGAUGAUAACUUAACCUUGGAUAUUUCACAACUUAAAGAGCAAAUCUUUGAGGCUUCACAAGCCCAUUUAUCCACAGUUCCUGGCUCACACAUUUUUGAAGGCAUAACUAAACAAUUACCUGAUUUUAAUCCCUUCAAAUGGCUCAAACCCGUCAGAGGAUCAUUGUUGUUACUGGCAUUAUUAAUAUUGGUAUGCUUAUGUUGUCUCCUUUUAGUCUGCAGAUGCCUCUAAGGAGUCCGAAACCAAGUCCGAAGUCAACAACAAGCAAUGAUGGCGAUGGCGAUUCUAGUUAAUAAAAAGGGGGGAGAUGUGGGCGGCAAGCCACCCAGGCACCGAGGCAAGAGACAGAGGACACGAGCUGUUCCAGUAUAAUAAAAUAUAAAACAAGAAUAGUUAUACC